CGGGACGGGUGAGUAACGCGUGGGUAACCUACCCUGUACACACGGAUAACAUACCGAAAGGUAUGCUAAUACAGGAUAAUAUAUUUGAGAGGCAUCUCUUGAAUAUCAAAGGUGAGCCAGUACAGGAUGGACCCGCGUCUGAUUAGCUAGUUGGUAAGGUAACGGCUUACCAAGGCGACGAUCAGUAGCCGACCUGAGAGGGUGAUCGGCCACAUUGGAACUGAGACACGGUCCAA
rnacentral:rRNA from 1 species